AUGAACGCUAGCUACAGGCUUAACACAUGCAAGUCGAGGGGAAACGACAUCGAAAGCUUGCUUUUGAUGGGCGUCGACCGGCGCACGGGUGAGUAACGCGUAUCCAACCUGCCCACCACUUGGGGAUAACCUUGCGAAAGUAAGACUAAUACCCAAUGAUAUCUCUAGAAGACAUCUGAAAGAGAUUAAAGAUUUAUCGGUGAUGGAUGGGGAUGCGUCUGAUUAGCUUGUUGGCGGGGUAACGGCCCACCAAGGCAACGAUCAGUAGGGGUUCUGAGAGGAAGGUCCCCCACAUUGGAACUGAGACACGGUCCAAACUCCUACGGGAGGCAGCAGUGAGGAAUAUUGGUCAAUGGACGAGAGUCUGAACCAGCCAAGUAGCGUGCAGGAAGACGGCCCUAUGGGUUGUAAACUGCUUUUAUAAGGGAAUAAAGUGAGAGUCGUGACUCUUUUUGCAUGUACCUUAUGAAUAAGGACCGGCUAAUUCCGUGCCAGCAGCCGCGGUAAUACGGAAGGUCCGGGCGUUAUCCGGAUUUAUUGGGUUUAAAGGGAGCGUAGGCCGGAGAUUAAGCGUGUUGUGGAAUGUAGAUGCUCAACAUCUGAACUGCAGCGCGAACUGGUUUCCUUGAGUACGCACAAAGUGGGCGGAAUUCGUGGUGUAGCGGUGAAAUGCUUAGAUAUCACGAAGAACUCCGAUUGCGAAGGCAGCUCACUGGAGCGCAACUGACGCUGAAGCUCGAAAGUGCGGGUAUCGAACAGGAUUAGAUACCCUGGUAGUCCGCACGGUAAACGAUGGAUGCCCGCUGUUGGUCUGAAUAGGUCAGCGGCCAAGCGAAAGCAUUAAGCAUCCCACCUGGGGAGUACGCCGGCAACGGUGAAACUCAAAGGAAUUGACGGGGGCCCGCACAAGCAGUGGAGUAUGUGGUUUAAUUCGAAGCAACGCGAAGAACCUUACCAGGUCUUGACAUUGAUCGCUAUUCCAAGAAAUUGGAAGUUCCUCUUCGGAGGACGAGAAAACAGGUGGUGCACGGCUGUCGUCAGCUCGUGUCGUGAGAUGUUGGGUUAAGUCCCGCAACGAGCGCAACCCUUUUUUCUAGUUGCCAGCACGUGAAGGUGGGAACUCUAGAGAGACUGCCGUAGAUAAUACGGAGGAAGGUGGGGACGACGUCAAAUCAUCAUGCCCUUUAUGCCCGGGGCUACACACGUGUUACAAUGGCAGGUACAGAGAGACGGACCCUUGCAAAACGGAUCAAAUCCUUAAAGCCUGUCUCAGUUCGGACUGGGGUCUGCAACCCGACCCCACGAAGCUGGAUUCGCUAGUAAUCGCGCAUCAGCCAUGGCGCGGUGAAUACGUUCCCGGGCCUUGUACACACCGCCCGUCAAGCCAUGAAAGCCGGGGGCGCCUAAAGUCCGUGACCGUAAGGAGCGGCCUAGGGCGAAACUGGUAAUUGGGGCU
rnacentral:rRNA from 1 species